CACGUGAGCAACCUGCCCUGGACUCUGGGAUAAGCGCUGGAAACGGCGUCUAAUACUGGAUAUGAGACGUGAUCGCAUGGUCGUGUUUGGAAAGAUUUUUCGGUCUGGGAUGGGCUCGCGGCCUAUCAGCUUGUUGGUGAGGUAAUGGCUCACCAAGGCGUCGACGGGUAGCCGGCCUGAGAGGGUGACCGGCCACACUGGGACUGAGACACGGCCCAGACUCCUACGGGAGGCAGCAGUGGGGAAUAUUGCACAAUGGGCGGAAGCCUGAUGCAGCAACGCCGCGUGAGGGAUGACGGCCUUCGGGUUGUAAACCUCUUUUAGCAGGGAAGAAGCGAAAGUGACGGUACCUGCAGAAAAAGCGCCGGCUAACUACGUGCCAGCAGCCGCGGUAAUACGUAGGGCGCAAGCGUUAUCCGGAAUUAUUGGGCGUAAAGAGCUCGUAGGCGGUUUGUCGCGUCUGCUGUGAAAUCCCGAGGCUCAACCUCGGGCCUGCAGUGGGUACGGGCAGACUAGAGUGCGGUAGGGGAGAUUGGAAUUCCUGGUGUAGCGGUGGAAUGCGCAGAUAUCAGGAGGAACACCGAUGGCGAAGGCAGAUCUCUGGGCCGUAACUGACGCUGAGGAGCGAAAGGGUGGGGAGCAAACAGGCUUAGAUACCCUGGUAGUCCACCCCGUAAACGUUGGGAACUAGUUGUGGGGACCAUUCCACGGUUUCCGUGACGCAGCUAACGCAUUAAGUUCCCCGCCUGGGGAGUACGGCCGCAAGGCUAAAACUCAAAGGAAUUGACGGGGACCCGCACAAGCGGCGGAGCAUGCGGAUUAAUUCGAUGCAACGCGAAGAACCUUACCAAGGCUUGACAUAUACGAGAACGGGCCAGAAAUGGUCAACUCUUUGGACACUCGUAAACAGGUGGUGCAUGGUUGUCGUCAGCUCGUGUCGUGAGAUGUUGGGUUAAGUCCCGCAACGAGCGCAACCCUCGUUCUAUGUUGCCAGCACGUAAUGGUGGGAACUCAUGGGAUACUGCCGGGGUCAACUCGGAGGAAGGUGGGGAUGACGUCAAAUCAUCAUGCCCCUUAUGUCUUGGGCUUCACGCAUGCUACAAUGGCCGGUACAAAGGGCUGCAAUACCGUGAGGUGGAGCGAAUCCCAAAAAGCCGGUCCCAGUUCGGAUUGAGGUCUGCAACUCGACCUCAUGAAGUCGGAGUCGCUAGUAAUCGCAGAUCAGCAACGCUGCGGUGAAUACGUUCCCGGGUCUUGUACACACCGC
rnacentral:rRNA from 1 species